UACGUAGGGUGCAAGCGUUGUCCGGAAUUAUUGGGCGUAAAGAGCUCGUAGGCGGUUUGUCGCGUCUGCUGUGAAAACCCGAGGCUCAACCUCGGGCCUGCAGUGGGUACGGGCAGACUAGAGUGUGGUAGGGGAGACUGGAAUUCCUGGUGUAGCGGUGAAAUGCGCAGAUAUCAGGAGGAACACCGGUGGGCGAAGGCG
rnacentral:rRNA from 1 species